UGAGUGGAUCCUGAGUACGACGGAGCACGUGAAAUUCCGUCGGAAUCUGGGAGGACCAUCUCCUAAGGCUAAAUACUCUCUAGUGACCGAUAGUGAACCAGUACCGUGAGGGAAAGGUGAAAAGCACCCCGGAAGGGGAGUGAAAUAGAACCUGAAACCGUGUGCUUACAAGUAGUCAGAGCCCGUUAAUGGGUGAUGGCGUGCCUUUUGUAGAAUGAACCGGCGAGUUACGAUUUGAUGCAAGGUUAAGCAGUAAAUGUGGAGCCGUAGCGAAAGCGAGUCUGAAUAGGGCGUUUAGUAUUUGGUCGUAGACCCGAAACCAGGUGAUCUACCCUUGGUCAGGUUGAAGUUCAGGUAACACUGAAUGGAGGACCGAACCGACUUACGUUGAAAAGUGAGCGGAUGAACUGAGGGUAGCGGAGAAAUUCCAAUCGAACCUGGAGAUAGCUGGUUCUCUCCGAAAUAGCUUUAGGGCUAGCCUCAAGUGAUGAUUAUUGGAGGUAGAGCACUGUUUGGACGAGGGGCCCCUCUCGGGUUACCGAAUUCAGACAAACUCCGAAUGCCAAUUAAUUUAACUUGGGAGUCAGAACAUGGGUGAUAAGGUCCGUGUUCGAAAGGGAAACAGCCCAGACCACCAGCUAAGGUCCCAA
rnacentral:rRNA from 1 species